CGUACUCGGAUGGGGGAGAUGUUCAGGUGUACUCAAGGGGGCUAAACUCUUGAAAACCGGAAUAAUGACUUUGGAAUGCAGCGGGUAGCGUGUCCAGUUUUUGUUGGGGGUGGCAUACGUGUUCCCAGUGACGUAGACAUCACUAAAGGUUUCCUUGUCCGCUGACCACGUGAGCUUGUCCAGUGUACAAGUCAGCGGGUGCUCCUUUAGGUUAAGUGAGGCGCCCUCCUCCUCUUGUGGACUACACAGUAUAAAGUGCUCAACCCUACGACGGAGCCUUGCUGGUGUUGUGACCUCAUCUUCAGCCACCUUGUGUUCUACCGCGUCGUGGACUAGAUGAGUCGUGGACGGUGGUGGGGGACCUUGGUGGUGGUGGCAUGGGUGACGGCGGCGAUGACGGCGGACAUCAGCACCAGGGUGAUAGCGGCGCCACCGAACACGAGUGAGAGUAGCGAUGAUGGUGUUGGAGACGGGAGACUACGACAAAUAUCCCUGGACUGCAACUCUCCUUCGUGCUGUGGUUACACCAAGAGCAGCGUCGGGUGUCGCUUCCAAGGUCGGAGGUGUCGGUGUCCUUUCGUCAUCCCCCGACCUGUGCCCUUCACCCCUUACGACAUCUAUCACCACUUGAGGCGGCAGCGACCUACUUAUCAAGAUGAUCAGGAUAGACGUUAGAUGCUGGAGACGAUGACAACGACCCAACUACCACGACGACAAGGGUUAAAUACUAGAUUAAGGAGGCAACGAUGACACCAGACCUUCAACAACGAGCAGGAUAGACGCGAGCUGUUGAUGAUGGGGGGGGUGGACACCAUCCUCACCACACACAAACACACACACACGACCAAUUCUCAGAGCAACAGUGGUUCUCUGCACUUAUACAGUACCUCCGAAUCCACUGUCUAUGGCGUAAGAUCCUUCUGCAAAUCUAAACCGGAAAUGGAGGACUGUCUUCAUGAAACACAAACAUUUGAUAAUUUGUUGCACUUUCAAUGUUCCGCAAGCUUCUAAGUCUCAUCAGUCAUUAUCUUUAUGAUGAGAUGCUUAACCCCUUGUAAAAGUAUCCAGAUGAGAAAUUUCUUCCCCCAAAUCCUCAACAGAACUACAAGAAAAAACGUUUAAAGUCAAUAAUGCGUUUCGUAAAAAAAGAAAAAAAGUUGAUAUCUUAAAGUAACAAAGUAUCACCUGUUUUUAAUAAUCUAGAACAGAAAAUGACGAGAAGUGUUAUCUCCUUAAAUAAUCUGAAACUGUUGUGAGAAUAAAAAAAAAAUCAAUAUAGUUCAACUAAACGAAAAUAAUGUCAUUGAAAUUCCACUGGUAUAAUUUAGUAGUUUUAUUAGACAGAAGGUCAAGAGCGUGCGGGUCUGGCCGUUGUGUCUACAUCGUUGUCGAAGAUUUUAGUUUAAUGCAUUGAAAUAUUUUAUUUUUUAUUUAUUUUUUAUUUUUUGCUUUGAUGAAUCCUGAGUCGCUCAAUCGUAAAUAUGAAUUCAAGGUUUUGGGCGAUAUCAAAAGGCUUUAUCAUGUGCAAUCAAUCCAUAAGUGAGUCCAAAGUGAAUCCAGAUUGUAACCAAAUACUGUAUAAAUCCAGAUAUGAAUCCAAGAAUCAGGUAAACAAUUAAGAUAAGGUUUCUUAACACAUCAAUGAAUCCUCAGAACAAGACCAGCGUGUUUGUCGAUCUGUUUGACGAAUCCGUUAUCUAAAUUAUAUCUUCUUAUUAAUGUUAUUUCGUCUUUCUCUUUUGCUGCUCAAGUUUAUUAAUUUGAAUUUAGCCUGGUUUCUCUCUUCUUCUUUUCCUCCUAUCCUUUCGCCUUUCUCCUCCUCUAUCUCCGUAUCAUUAAGUCCUAAUAUUAAGCAUUUGCUAAUUGUUGUAAUUUUUUUGUUUCCUGAAUCCAAACACUUGCUUUUGUUAUCAUUUAUAUAUUUAUAAUGUCAAUAAAAUACCCUGCAGGUGAAAUUGCUUAAAA